CCAGAACUCCACCGGAGCGAGCGGUGGUAGCGGAGUCGGUGGGGGAGCCGCAGACAUCAAUCCCACGCGGUGAGGACGGGAGCCACUAUGGUGGCAUCACACAGUCGCUGCUCCUGGUACAGCUGCUUCAAACCUGCAGGAAGGGGAAGACAAAGCCAAGGGUGUGUCAGAACAGACAUUGCAACAGAAACAUCAGCCGGCAAGAGAAGAAAUAACUUGGUCUAAAGGAAUUUUUAAAUGGCAUCAAAUCUCAGGUGCGGCAGCGUGGUAGCCACUAGGAACCAUUGCCUCAGAUCUACAGCCGGGAAAGUCUCUGGGUUUCCAAGUGAUUGGCUCUCACAUUCUGCUCCCUGAAUAGUCCGUGGUGUGACGGGCAGAAGAAAACAUUCACAGAAAUCCCCCGGUGUGACAUUACAGGUGUGACAUAACCACAAAAGCCAAGACAGUGUAACUGAUAGGAGUUGUCUAUUUAGGUCACCCCUCUCACCCCUUGGUUUCGCAGUGUGGAUAGCAGGUAAAAUGCCACACUGAUCAGACAUCUCUGCCAUACACAACUAGGCUUAACAGAGAAGUUCAGGAAUGGAGUCAGAACUGGGACUCUGAAUUUCUUAAGGGGAUGGGGGGAAGAGGGAAAGAAUGCAUGUGAAUUCCUGAGAUUUCCCCAUUUUCAUCCCUUAUGCUGCCUGCAAAACAUACCUAGCCCCUUCCCUCUUGGUGAGUAGGGAGGAUGCAGCGCUUAGGGAUGGUUACAGUUAACUACCCCCGGAUCUGUAGCCUAGUUUAUUAAGAGCCUGCCUCCAUGUCAUAUAAUUCUUGGGGGAUGUGAGUUUGUGCUGCACUUGUGAGUAAAUCUAUCUUAACUAAACAUUUUGGACUCGCAUGACUGUUCACUACUGAGAGUGAGUCAAAUCUCCUCCAUUGACAAUUGCUCUGACGGGAUUGCUCAAUAACUUGCUAUCAAAAGGCCCUUCUCAAAGAUAUCGACGGACAGUCAUUCACUGAGAAAUGAGGAUCUAAGGGACAGGUUUUCAGAAGUGCUGAGCAUCCGCAACAGGGAUCAGAUUGCCAGAAGAUCGUAUCUCCCAUUUAGGCACCCAAGCAAAGUAGCAAGAUUUUCAGAAGUGCUCAAUUCCCGGCAGAUCCCAUUGUUCUCAAUGGGAAGUGCUGUCUGGUCACUUUUGAAAAUGUGAUCCUAAAGGAAGAAUGGGUUCUGCAGGUGACCAUAUGAACAGGAAACUGUUUCCCCCAUUCUGGUCCAGUUUUGGAAGAUGGGUAGGCUGGUGCCUCAGUUACAAAACACUAGACUUUGGGGAGAAGACAUAGGUGUUCCCUGCAAGGGAAGAAAUAGCUCUUGUUACAUACUGACCUGGGAUCUUAAGUGACACCAAAGAUUCUUCUUUGCAAAAUGGGCUCAUCAAUCGAGAUCAUCCUGGGAAAUACUCUUCCCCCAUUCCUAACCCCAGUCCCUUAUGUACAAUCAUACCACAUUCUCUCACCCACAUUCUGUGUGGUCUCACCUACCUGCUCCUCCUCCUGCUAUUGCCUGUGUGGUUUUGCAGCCUUUACAAUCUGCAACA